rnacentral:rRNA from 1 species
UGGGGAAUAUUGCACAAUGGGGGAAACCCUGAUGCAGCAACGCCGCGUGGAGGAUGACGCAUUUCGGUGUGUAAACUCCUUUUAUAAGGGAAGAUAAUGACGGUACCUUAUGAAUAAGCACCGGCUAACUCCGUGCCAGCAGCCGCGGUAAUACGGAGGGUGCAAGCGUUACUCGGAAUCACUGGGCGUAAAGGAUGCGUAGGCGGCCGAUCAAGUCGGGAGUGAAAGCCCAGGGCUUAACCCUGGAACUGCUCUCGAAACUGGUCGGCUUGAGUCCGGCAGAGGAUGGCGGAAUUCCCCGUGUAGAGGUGAAAUUCGUAGAUAUGGGGAGGAACACCAGAGGCGAAGGCGGCCAUCUGGACCGGUACUGACGCUAAGGCACGAAAGCGUGGGGAGCAAA